AGAGACUGGGGGUUCUGGUGGUGAGAUUUCAAGAGUGGGUAUUAUCUCGGGAACUGGAAUCUUUCUUGGGCGCCCGCGUCUUUUCUUUGUGGUCGGCGGUUCAGUCUGGUCACAGGUCGACGGUUCAGUCUGGUCACAGGUCGGCUGUUGAUGAAAACUCUCCCCUGGGGUAGAGUUUUUUGCCCGAGAAUACUUUUUUACGGGGAUGCCAGGGUGUGGCCCUAGUUUCUGCAGUUCAUCAGCCUUAUACUGACUAAACAUUGAAAUGAACUUUUCGGUAUCUUUUGGUCAUAUCCUAAUAGACAUGUCGUCCAGACAUAUUCGAAUACCAAGAUUUACAUGGUUUUGGCCAGUUACAAGGACAUCGCGCAUGUCUACGACUACAAGAUACGAAUUAUUCCGUAUCAAUGUUAAGCCAGUCAUUCCCAUCAUAAAAUUCGGGGAAUGCUCUGCUAGCAUAUCCAAGAAUUUCUUAGUUUUUAGGCUCAUUGUAACCAAAAAAAAAACAAAUUCCUGAUAUGAUAGCAAAGGCA